GGUUCCAUGGUGUAAUGGUCAGCACUCUGGACUCUGAAUCCAGCGAGUUCAAAUCUCGGUGGAACCU
rnacentral:tRNA from 1 species